GCUCUGGUGGCCUAGUGGGUAGGAUAUCCACCUCAGAUGCAGGAGGUCAUGGGUUCAAACUCCAGCUAAGUCA